rnacentral:rRNA from 1 species
AUACGGAGGACCCGAGCGUUAUCCGGAUUCAUUGGGUUUAAAGGGUGCGCAGGCGGAGGAGUAAGUCAGGGGUGAAAGCCGGCAGCUUAACUGUCGAAUUGCCUUUGAUACUGCUUUUCUUGAGUGUGGUUGAUGUGGGCGGAAUGUGGCAUGUAGCGGUGAAAUGCUUAGAUAUGCCACAGAACACCGAUUGCGAAGGCAGCUCACAAAGCCAUUACUGACGCUCAUGCACGAAAGCAUGGGGAGCAAACAGGAUUAGAUACCCUGGUAGUCCAUGCCGUAAACGAUGAUGACUCGAUGUUAGCGAUACACUGUUAGCGUCUAAGCGAAAGCGUUAAGUCAUCCACCUGGGAAGUACGAUCGCAAGGUUGAA